GUGAAUCAUCAAAUUUUUGAACGCAAAUUGCGCUUCCUAGCAUCCCGGGAAGUAUGCCUGUUUGAGGGUCAGUAUUAACAAAAAAAUCGGUUUGGUUGCAAAUUGUGACGUUUCCGGAGUUUGGGCUAUCUUAACUUUUUUGGUUAAGGGGCUUAAAAUUGACCUUUUUUGCGCAUUUUUAGACGUACAUAAAUUUUUUUUUUUUCGUCUAAUUUUUAUUCCAAGUACUUUUUUACU
rnacentral:misc_RNA from 1 species